UGAACCUUAGGGAAAAGCCGCAU
rnacentral:miRNA from 1 species